rnacentral:rRNA from 1 species
UACGUAGGUGGCAAGCGUUGUCCGGAAUUAUUGGGCGUAAAGCGCGCGCAGGUGGUUUCUUAAGUCUGAUGUGAAAGCCCACGGCUCAACCGUGGAGGGUCAUUGGAAACUGGGGAACUUGAGUGCAGGAGAGAAGAGUGGAAUUCCAAGUGUAGCGGUGAAAUGCGUAGAGAUUUGGAGGAACACCAGUGGCGAAGGCGACUUUCUGGUCUGUAACUGACACUGAGGCGCGAAAGCGUGGGGAGCGAACAGG